AUUGAACGCUGGCGGCAUGCUUUACACAUGCAAGUCGAACGGUAACAGGUUAAGCUGACGAGUGGCGAACGGGUGAGUAAUGCAUCGGAACGUGCCCGGUCGUGGGGGAUAACACUUCGAAAGAAGUGCUAAUACCGCAUACGAUCUGAGGACGAAAGCGGGGGACCGUAAGGCCUCGCGCGAUCGGAGCGGCCGAUGUCAGAUUAGGUAGUUGGGGGGGUAAAGGCUCACCAAGCCGACGAUCUGUAGCUGGUCUGAGAGGACGACCAGCCACACUGGGGCUGAGACACGGCCCAGACUCCUACGGGAGGCAGCAGUGGGGAAUUUUGGACAAUGGGCGCAAGCCUGAUCCAGCAAUGCCGCGUGCAGGAAGAAGGCCUUCGGGUUGUAAACUGCUUUUGUACGGAGCGAAAAGGCUCUCUCUAAUACAGGGGGCUCAUGACGGUACCGUAAGAAUAAGCACCGGCUAACUACGUGCCAGCCGCCGCAGUAA
rnacentral:rRNA from 1 species